CUGUCUGUGCCACCAGUUCUGAGCCUUGAAUGCCACAGUGACUACGAUGUCUGCAAACCAUCACAAAAAGAUUGUUUAUUUAGAUUAUCGAGGGCCAAAAGCAUGUUUGAUGAUGAUAAUGAGACAAUGUCAGCGUUUGAUGGUUUUUUUUUGUUUUUAAUUAUAAAGUCGAUCAACUUGAACACAUCAUGAUUUCAGAAUCCAAACUGGUUGGCAACAAAUAAACAAACCCAAUAAGCAUAAAUGAAUUUGAAGCUUUCCACUGAGCCACAUACAACUGUAACCUUUAAAUAUGGAAUUCAUGGUCUUAAACCAUAUGGGUGCACAUUCUUGAACUGUCCAGCAGGUGGCAGCACACCAUGUGACACAUUCCUUUUAAUGCAGCAUCAUUAACAGCGUUCACAACAUGGGUGUUUCAAAGGUUUCAGAAUGUUUUUAAAAAGUAUUUGGACUUUUUCUUGAGUAAUAUACAAUCCGGGCAAAAACGUUUCAUUAUCCCCAUUAAUUAAUUCCGAUUUUACUUUCCCUAUUCUGUUGGCUAUGUUGUCACAUAUUUGGUGAUGUGGCAGGUAUCAUGUUUCUACCCUUGGUUGUUAGUUCACGAAAAGGUGGGUGCUGCUUCAGCAUGUGGCAAAGUCAAAGAGAUAUCACACAGAUGAAACAAAGUUGCUUUUUCCAUUGAUAUGUUGCAUCAAGGCUCACCAGAUUUUAAUCAGUUUGUCCUUGAUAUAUACCCUUUUAAGAUAGAUAAGAAGAAGAUGAUACACAAGCUGGCUGGGAUCCACUCACCCACUCAUCUAUAUUUUUGCUGUUCAAGCACUACACUUUUACUAGCGCAUGGGGUGGGGGGGGGGGGGGGGGGUGUGCACAACAACACAAAACAGAGUUUUGAAUCUGUCAGCUAUGACAGUCAAUCACAAACUGUACAAAAAUACAGAUGAUAGAAAAAAUAGACCAAACAGCAUGCUGAGGCUCUUCAACUUCAAAAAAAUGAAAUUUAUUUUCACAUUUUCUCAUUUCUCCUCAUCUGCCAUAUUAUUGCAAUCAUCCAUGUGAUUGUCUUUUUCUCCCAUAGCAACAGGACAUGUCCUCCUGAAUGUUAAAUCACCUUUGAGCUUUUCUAGCUUCAUGUAAUUAAGUCUUCGGAUUCUACUUUUGCGCCUGCACACAUUUCCGAACCCGCUGCAGACCCACUGCUCACUGCACUGCCAAUAGGCAAACAUCCACUUUGUUUUUUAAAUGUACCGACUCCUGCAGAUGCAUGCACGUUGUUUUUGCACAGCACUGUAUUACCGCAUGACAAAAAGCCUACAUUCAAAAUAUGGGGAAAAUGGGUGUGUAAACACCUAGGCCUUCUGGCAGUACUGCACAAAAGGUUUUAUGCACCCCAGAAUUUUGCUAAAAAACUUUUUGCUAAAAGAAUAAAAAAUAAAUUUGAACACUUUUUACUUGUGCAAAAAAUAGUGAUUUUUUUCCCUCAGUUAAUGAAACUAAUAAUAAUAAUAAUAAUAAUAAUAAUAAAUAAAUUAAAAAGCUUUUUAUUCCUUUGUAGUUCUGCUGCUCAAAAUGUGAUGGCACAAAGACGGUUGUAGAUAAUUGCUCACUGAUAAUCCAAUUAUCACAGACGGGAAAUUACAUAUUUUUAAAGGUGAAAAAUGAAUCCACAUUGCGCUUAUUUAUAACUAUUACAUAGUAAGUAUUACUUUGAACAUUUUUAACAAUAGUUGUGUCUAAAACUUUUGCACAGUACUGCAUUGACAACAGCAUGUCGAAAGCACAUAUAUGCAAAAUGAAUAUGGCUCAAAAUUAAAUAUGUCAAUACUACAUGAUAAUUGUGACCAAAAUUUAAGAGUAAUUUUAAUUAUUUUUAAGCACUUUGUAUAAAUGUGUUACAUUUAAUUUUUCUUGGAGCUGAAAUUCAGUAUGUUAUGUCGAUUUUAAAUGUAUUUCUUCAUAUAAAUAUUAGUUUGGCCAAAGUGGAAUAAAAGUCUUGAUUGUUUUUCCUUCAUGUAUGUAGUGAGUGAAGUAUUUCUCCAUAAAAAAGCUGUUUCUUUUCUGUGAUAAAUGACUCUGGUUAUCUAGCUGUGUACUGGUUUAAGCAAUUUUGCAACAAAGUUUAACAGCAGAUAAGAGCAGAGCAUCGAUUUGAAACACGUUCUCGCACCCUCACUGUUUUUGCCAAACAUCAUUCUCUUUCUCAAUCUAUUUUUCCUCAUUUUUAAAGUGUGUUGCCCUUCCCUUUAAUAGCAGUCAGGAUUUAUUUUGUGCAGCAGAUAAGAACAGAGCCUUUAAAAACACGUCAAAAAGGAAUCGGUCCGAGACGUCUCUCGCUCGCUACAUUCAGGAGGACAACUUAACAUUAUUCCACAUAA